AAAAAUAUUUCUGCGGAAAAAGAAGAGAGAGAGAGAAAGAAAGAGAGAGAGAGAGAGAGAAUCAGUUUGGUACGUAUGUAAAUGAAAAUAGUACAAAAUUCGUUAUUUCCGUUUCCCGGUUAGAAAAAUAUUAUAUGUAUAAUAAGAAAAAGUUUCGAGGGAAAACUAAACUGCAGAAAA